AAACAAAAAACUUGUGUAAUAGUCGAAGAUCCCAAAAAACAAAAAAAUAGGAAAAACCGAAAGAAAACCAGGAGAAAAACAAAACAAACUCCUGCGCGCCACCAAAGCCACAUUAAAAAAACAAAAAAACGAAAAAUACACAAAAAAAAAUUUAUUGUUAGUGCAACGCAACGAUCUCUAAAGAACUUUUCAAAAACACAAAUACAAACAACAACAAAUUUAUAAAUUUUAUUAAUUUAUCUUGUGCUCAUUCCAUGAAAGAAAAGAAAAGAAAAUGAAAAAGAAAGAAGAAAAUUAUUCGUUUAAUUUGUUUAUUAUUUUAAUUUAUUUUAUGAACGAACACGAAAUGUGAUAGGCGGCAAUUUUAGUUGAACCAAAAAACAAAAAAAAAAGGAAAAAAAAAACGAUGUAAAAAAAAGAAUAGAUAUAAAGAUGAAUUAUUCAAAUAUUAAUAUUAUAUAUGAUUCAUAAACAUUUGGCUUGUGGCUCUGGUUAAAGGCGCGUGCAAGCAAUUGAAUCAGUUAUUACGAUUAUAAUUACGAUUACGAUAAUGAAGAUGAUGAUAAAAGUGAAAACAAGCAACAUGUACAAGUUGGAGCAAACGAAUUGGCAAUGUAAAGAAAAGAAAAGAAAGAAAAAGAGUUAGGGACAAAACUCGCAUCGAGUCACAGUCAGAGAGACGAAGUCAAAAGAAAAAAGAGAUGAGAAGAUGAGAUCAAGGUCGAGAGUUGGGAGUCAGAGUCAAGUAAAUGAGAAAUAAUUGGUAUGUGAUAUAAAGAAUAUAGUCCUCAUUCUAAUUAAUAUAAUAUUAUUAAUUUUUCUUGUUGUUAUAAACACAAACACACACACACACCCACAAGCAACUACACACACACAUACACUAAAAGAUAAUUUUAUUUAUUUAAUGCAUAUUUUCCAAAUUUUAUCAACGCGAGAGAAAAAUCACAUAAUGUUGCAGAAAAACUUGUUAUAAAAAGAAGAAGAAGGAGAAGAAGAAUAAGAGAGAAACCCGUUAUUUUAAUUAUGUUAUAAGCUGAAUAACAGUUAGAUCGUAAAACGCUAAAAACAAAUGAUAUGAGAAAACGGAAAUUUAUUAAUUGUUAAAACUAUCUAGAAAUGUAUGAAAAUGUAACUAAACAAAAGGGUUAUAAAAAUGAUGAGCUUAACACAAAAAAAAACAAAACUCGUUGCUUAGGUACUUUAAAAAUUAUAUAAUUAUACAUAAUAAUCAUAAUGAUAACCCACACACACACACACACACACCCAACACACAUCAACACACAUCAACACAUAGGGGCGCAAUGUAAAUGUUCGUUAGCAGUUUGUGCCACAAAAUAUGUGAUAACAAAUUCAUUUGUACAACAGACAAAACAAAACAAAAUUGGCACAAAUUCUAGCAAACAAAUUGAAAAAACAAAAAUUAAUAAUAUAAUUAUAAAACACACACACACACACAAGAAAAAAACAUGCGAAUAUUAAACAAAAAAGUAAAAAAAAAAAAAUUAUGUAAAUUGUGAAAAAUGAAAGAAAAACAAAAUUCUUGUCGGUCAGUAUUCGAAUUACGUGAGGAAAACAACAAACAAACAAAAUUUGUAUUUAGAUUGUUAUUAUUUUAGUGCUUUCGGUUCACUUUCAAAUUGGCAUUCAAAUUGACUUUAAUUUUAAUCACCAUUUUUAUAAUUACUUUAAUAUAAAUUACAAAAUUUGUUUCAAACAAAAAACAAAUGAAACUUGGCAUUGCUUUAGCGCUAGUCAGUUACGUGAAUUAGCUUUGCUUUACAUUUUUUUGUUGUUAUACUUAAUUGUUUAAACAUUGAAAUGGAAGAGAAUGCAAGAGAGAGAAGUAGGAAGAGGAAGAAGAGCAGCAGAAGAGGAAGAAUAGUUUCACAAUCUACAUGAUGCAACUUUGUAUCCUUUUUGUAAACAACUAUAAUCUAAUGCAAUUAUUUAACUUUGUCUAUUAAGGUUGUGGUUCUUAUUUAUACAACUAAAUCAUUUUUUUACUACUUUUCUAAGCAAAAACAAAACAAAACAAAACAAAACGAAAACAAUACAAAACAAAAGAAGAGAAGAGAAAACAAAAAAAAAAGAAACCAAGCAACAUUUUAAUUUAUCAACAGCGCAUGUGAUGAGACUCGCAAGUUUGUCGUGAAAAUUGUUCGAUGUAUUUUGGGUGAAAUUCAAAUUCAAGACAUGCCCAGCAAAAGAAUUUUGAGACACACUUUCGAGUCGUAUAGUUAAAAACUAAAAGAAAUCUAAAUGAAAAUGAAAUGGAAAUGAAAAUGGAAAUAAAUGAAGAGCAUGUGAUAAAUUCAAUAUAAUUUUGAUUAACAAGCAACUUACUAACAAACAAAAACAACAAACAACAUAACACAAUACACACACGCGUACACUGUAAUUAAUUUAAGUAGUGCAUCUAUAUCUACAUAUAUAUAUAUAUAUGUGUAUAUGUAUAAUUAACAAAUUUGCUAGAUACAACAAAUCAUUUUGUAGAUGCGAAACAAACAACAAAACAUAAUAAGCAACAACAAAACAUAUUUUUUGAGAAAUUGUACUAACAACAAAAACAGCAAAUAUCUUUUUCUGUAUCUUUUUCUUUUUGGUAUAAGCGUAAAUGAAAUGAAAAAUGUAUCGAUGAAAGAAACUCACACAACAAACCGAAACAGAAACACAUACACAUACAUAUUAUGGAACGAAAGAGUUUUAACUAUAACUAUUAAAGAUUACCAACUACUACUACAACUACUUUAACAACUAUAACUAUUUUACACACACACACACAACAACACACACACAUACACAACGUUGUAAACAAGGAGCUGUGAAUGUAUAAAAUUAUAUAUUAAAAAAAAUAUAUAUAUAUCUUAUAUAUGUACAUAUAGAUACAAAAACGAAAAACACAAAAAAAAAAAAGCGAAAUCAAUGUGAUCAAUUGUGAUUGUUAAGGAAACAAAAUGAUAAACAAAAGAGAAACUGUUGUUAAUGUGAAUCGAUAUAUGAACGGCAUAGGCAAGUGGGGCAAUAGGUUUUGGAGAUACAUUGAAAAGGGCUUUUCUUUACACACACACACAGAUACACAGAUACAGAUACAUAAUACAUAUAUACACACAACUUUAAGUUUAUUUUCUUCCUUGUUUAUCUUUUCUCUAUAUGAACUAAUACAGAUCAUACUAUAAUAGCAUAUUUACAACAUGGGUUUUUAUUCACACUAAACAACAACAACAACAACAACAAACAAAAAUCUAGUAAUUAGCCAUAAGAUACACUUCAACCAAUCAACAAACAAACAUAUGUAAUUGUAUAUUCUAAAUGUUAAUUGCUGUUCACGCACGAUAAACACACACAGAUACACACACACACACACACACACACCAAUACACACCCACAGAGAACUCAAGAGUCAUUUGCCUAUAAAAACAAAGAAAAUAGCAAAUUCUAAAUAAACAAAAAAAAUAUAAAAUCAUAUUAUAUAUAGCUUAGUUUGCGCUUAUAACAAAAUUUACAAAACAAUGAAAAACCUCUAAAAAAAAAAAACAAACAAACCAAA